rnacentral:rRNA from 1 species
UACAGAGGGGGCAAGCGUUGUUCGGAAUUACGGGGCGGAAAGGGCGCGUAGGCGGCCUUCUAAGUCGAACGUGAAAUCCCCGGGCUCAACCCGGGAACUGCGUCCGAGACUGAAAGGCUUGAAUCCGGGAGAGGGAUGUGGAAUUCCAGGUGUAGCGGUGAAAUGCGUAGAUAUCUGGAGGAACAUCGGUGGCGAAGGCGGCAUCCUGGACCGGUAUUGACGCUGAGGCGCGAAAGCCAGGGGAGCAAACGGG